rnacentral:rRNA from 1 species
UACAGAGGUCCCGAGCGUUGUUCGGAUUCAUUGGGCGUAAAGAGCGCGUAGGCGGUCUUUUAAGUCGGUGGUGAAAUCCCGGGGCUUAACCCCGGAAUUGCCCUCGAUACUGGAAGACUUGAGUGCGGGAGAGGAUAGUGGAAUUCCCAGUGUAGAGGUGAAAUUCGUAGAUAUUGGGAAGAACACCAGUGGCGAAGGCAGCUAUCUGGACCGCAACUGACGCUGAGGCGCGAAAGCGUGGGGAGCAAACAGG